AGGUUAGCUAGGAGACACUAUGAGGGAGACAGAGACACUGACUGUUAUCAGGUUAGCUAGGAGACACUAUGAGGGAGACAGAGACACUGACUGUUAUCAGGUUAGCUAGGAGACACUAUGAGGGAGACAGAGACACUACACUGACUGUUAUCAGGUUAGCUAGGAGACCCUUAACUCUGCUACGGUCUGCUAAAUGACUCUCUACUGUCAGUCUCUCUGGAUAAGAGAGUCUGCUAAAUCACUCCCUACUGUCAGUCUCUCUGGAUAAGAGAGUCUGCUAAAUGACUUUCUACUGUCAGUCUCUCUGGAUAAGAGAGUCUGCUAAAUGACUCUCUACUGUCAGUCUCUCUGGAUAAGAGAGUCUGCUAAAUCACUCCCUACUGUCAGUCUCUCUGGAUAAGAGAGUCUGCUAAAUCACUCCCUACUGUAAGUCUCUCUGGAUAAGAGAGUCUGCUAAAUCACUCCCUACUGUCAGUCUCUCUGGAUAAGAGAGUCUGCUAAAUUACUCCCUACUGUCACUUUGCUGAGGUUGAAAGCCACAGGGGAAGAGAGGACCACACAAGGUUGAACAGGAGAGGAGAGGAGCACACGGAGGUUGAACAGGAGAGGAGCACACGGAGGUUGAACAGGAGAGGAGCACACAGAGGUUGAACAGGAGAGGAGAGGAGCACACGGAGGUGUCGUCUCUCUGCGCUGGGUGACCCCACACACGGCGUACCUGUAGUCAAAGCGUAGGUUCGGGAAGCGGGACAUCAGACUCUCGUAGGUAUUUCUGAGGGUGGUGACCUCACGGUUCAGC
rnacentral:lncRNA from 13 species